AUUGAACGCUGGCGGCAGGCCUAACACAUGCAAGUCGAGCGGAGCGGCGGACGGGUGAGUAAUGUCUGGGAAACUUCGUGAUGUAGGGGGAUAACUACUGGAACCGGUAGCUAAUACCGCAUACUAUCAGAUGAGGCUAGGUCGGAUUAGCUAGUUGGUGGGGUAACGGGAUACCAAGGCGAAGAUCCGUAACUGGUCGGAGAGGAUGAUGAGUCACAAGGGAAAUGAGACACGGUCAAGACUCCGACGGGAGGCAGCAGUGGGGAAUAUUGGACAAUGGGCGAAAGCCUGAUCCAGCCAUGCCGCGUGUGUGAAGAAGGUCUUCGGAUUGUAAAGCACUUUAAGUUGGGAGGCGUUACCAACAGAAUAAGCACCGGCUAACUUCGUGCCAGCAGCCGCGGUAAUUC
rnacentral:rRNA from 1 species